rnacentral:rRNA from 1 species
GACGAACGCUGGCGGCGUGCUUAACACAUGCAAGUCGAGACGGGUAAGGCCCUUUCGGGGGUACACGAGCGGCGAACGGGUGAGUAACACGUGGGUGACCUGCCCUCAGCUCUGGGGAUAAGCCUGGGAAACCGGGUCUAAUACUGGAUAUGACUCCAUGACGCAUGUUGUGGGGUGGAAAGCCUUGUGCGGCUGAGGAUGGGCCCGCGGCCUAUCAGCUUGUUGGUGGGGNGAUGGCCUACCAAGGCGACGACGGGUAGCCGGCCUCGAGAGGGCGACCGGCCACACCUGGGACUGAGGCACGGCCCAGACUCCUACGGGAGGCAGCAGUGGGAAUCUUGCGCAAUGGCGAAAGCCUGACGCAGCGACGCCGCGUGAGGGAUGACGGCCU